rnacentral:rRNA from 1 species
ACGGCUCAGUAACACGUAGUCAACAUGCCCAGGGGACGUGGAUAACCUCGGGAAACUGAGGAUAAACCGCGAUAGGUCAUAAUUACUGGAAUGUGUUAUGGCCCAAAUCUAUAUGGCCUCUGGAUUGGACUGCGGCCGAUCAGGCUGUUGGUGAGGUAAUGGCCCACCAAACCUUUUACCGGUACGGGCUCUGAGAGGAGGAGCCCGGAGAUGGGCACUGAGACAAGGGCCCAGGCCCUAUGGGGCGCAGCAGGCGCGAAACCUCUGCAAUAGGCGAAAGCCUGACAGGGUUACUCUGAGUGAUUCCCGCUAAGGGAAUCUUUUGGCAUCUCUAAAAAUGGUGCAGAAUAAGGGGUGGGCAAGUCUGGUGUCAGCCGCCGCGGUAAUACCAGCACCCCGAGUGGUCGGGACGAUUAUUGGGCCUAAAGCAUCCGUAGCUUGUCCUGCAAGUCUUCCGUUAAAUCCACCUGCUCAACAGAUGGGCUGCGGGAGAUACUACAGGGCUAGGAGGCGGGAGAGGCGAGCGGCACUCAGUGGGUAGGGGUAAAAUCCUCUGAUCCACUGAAGACCACCAGUGGCGAAGGCGGCUUGCCAGAACGCGCUCGACGGUGAGGGAUGAAAGCUGGGGGAGCAAACCGGAUUAGAUACCCGGGUAGUCCCAGCUGUAAACGAUGCAGACUCGGUGAUGGGUUGGCUUCGCGCCAACCCAGUGCCGCAGGGAAGCCGUUAAGUCUGCCGCCUGGGGAGUACGGUCGCAAGACUGAAACUUAAAGGAAUUGGCGGGGGAGCAC